GACCCUUGGUCUAGAGGUAUGAUGCUCGCUUCGGGUGUGAGAGGUCUGGGGAUCAAAUGCUGGACGAGUCC